UACGAAGGUCCCAAGCGUUAUCCGGAUUUAUUGGGUUUAAAGGGUGCGUAGGCGGGUUAUUAAGUCAGUGGUGAAAGCCUUCAGCUUAACUGAAGAACUGCCAUUGAUACUGAUGAUCUUGAGUAUGAUUGAGGUGGGCGGAAUGUGUCAUGUAGCAGUGAAAUGCUUAGAUAUGACACAGAACACCGAUUGCGAAGGCAGCUCACUAAGCCCAUAACUGACGCUGAUGCACG
rnacentral:rRNA from 1 species